rnacentral:rRNA from 1 species
UACGGGGGGGGCAAGCGUUGUUCGGAAUUACUGGGCGUAAAGGGUUCGUAGGUGGCCAACUAAGUCAGACGUGAAAUCCCUCAGCUUAACUGGGGAACUGCGCCUGAUACUGGAUGGCUCGAGUGCAGGAGAGGAACGCGGAAUUCCAGGUGUAGCGGUGAAAUGCGUAGAUAUCUGGAGGAACACCGGUGGCGAAGGCGGCGUUCUGGACUGUAACUGACACUGAGGAACGAAAGCCAGGGGAGCAAACGGG